CUUGGUGAAGGACAAGCAGAGGAGCGGGUUCCCGCAACCUUGAGUUCUCAGCUGCCCAUGUUAUCAACAGCUCAGACUCCAUAACCUCUGGAAGAAGUCAC